UACCAGCACCCCGAGUGGUCGGGACGAUUGUUGGGCCUAAAGCAUCCGUAGCCGGUUUUACAAGUCCUCCGUUAAAUCCAGCUGCUUAACAGAUGGGCUGCGGAGGAUACUAUAAGACUAGGAGGCAGGAGAGGCAAGCGGUACUCAGUGGGUAGGGGUAAAAUCCGUUGAUCCAUUGAAGACCACCAGUGGCGAAGGCGGCUUGCCAGAAUGCGCUCGACGGUGAGGGAUGAAAGCUGGGGGAGCAAACCGG
rnacentral:rRNA from 1 species